ensembl:snoRNA SNORD25 Small nucleolar RNA SNORD25
AUCCCCGAUGAUGAUUUCCUUUUCACAGACCUGUACUGAUUUCCAUGAGGAUAAGUAAUUCUGAGGAGGU